AGAGUUUGAUCCUGGCUCAGGAUGAACGCUAGCGACAGGCUUAACACAUGCAAGUCGAGGGGCAGCACAGGUAGCAAUACCGGGUGGCGACCGGCGCACGGGUGAGUAACGCGUAUGCAACUUACCUAUCAGAGGGGGAUAACCCGGCGAAAGUCGGACUAAUACCGCAUGAAGCAGGGGCCCCGCAUGGGGAUAUUUGCUAAAGAUUCAUCGCUGAUAGAUAGGCAUGCGUUCCAUUAGGCAGUUGGCGGGGUAACGGCCCACCAAACCGACGAUGGAUAGGGGUUCUGAGAGGAAGGUCCCCCACAUUGGUACUGAGACACGGACCAAACUCCUACGGGAGGCAGCAGUGAGGAAUAUUGGUCAAUGGGCGCGAGCCUGAACCAGCCAAGUAGCGUGAAGGAUGAAGGCUCUAUGGGUCGUAAACUUCUUUUAUAUGGGAAUAAAGUUUUCCACGUGUGGAAUUUUGUAUGUACCAUAUGAAUAAGGAUCGGCUAACUCCGUGCCAGCAGCCGCGGUAAUACGGAGGAUCCGAGCGUUAUCCGGAUUUAUUGGGUUUAAAGGGAGCGUAGGCGGAUUGUUAAGUCAGUUGUGAAAGUUUGCGGCUCAACCGUAAAAUUGCAGUUGAUACUGGCUACCUUGAGUGCAACAGAGGUAGGCGGAAUUCGUGGUGUAGCGGUGAAAUGCUUAGAUAUCACGAAGAACUCCGAUUGCGAAGGCAGCUUACUGGAUUGUAACUGACGCUGAUGCUCGAAAGUGUGGGUAUCAAACAGGAUUAGAUACCCUGGUAGUCCACACAGUAAACGAUGAAUACUCGCUGUUUGCGAUAUACAGUAAGCGGCCAAGCGAAAGCAUUAAGUAUUCCACCUGGGGAGUACGCCGGCAACGGUGAAACUCAAAGGAAUUGACGGGGGCCCGCACAAGCGGAGGAACAUGUGGUUUAAUUCGAUGAUACGCGAGGAACCUUACCCGGGCUUAAAUUGCAAAGGAAUAAUCUGGAAACAGGUUAGUCUUCGGACCUUUGUGAAGGUGCUGCAUGGUUGUCGUCAGCUCGUGCCGUGAGGUGUCGGCUUAAGUGCCAUAACGAGCGCAACCCUUAUCGAUAGUUACUAGCAGGUAAUGCUGAGGACUCUAUUGAGACUGCCGUCGUAAGAUGUGAGGAAGGUGGGGAUGACGUCAAAUCAGCACGGCCCUUACGUCC
rnacentral:rRNA from 1 species